CGGACGGGUGAGUAAUGUCUGGGAAACUGCCUGAUGGAGGGGGAUAACUACUGGAAACGAUAGCUAAUACCGCAUAACGUCGCAAGACCAAAGAGGGGGACCUUCGGGCCUCUUGCCAUCGGAUGUGCCCAGAUGGGAUUAGCUAGUAGGUGAGGUAACGGCUCACCUAGGCGACGAUCCCUAGCUGGUCUGAGAGGAUGACCAGCCACACUGGAACUGAGACACGGUCCAGACUCCUACGGGAGGCAGCAUG
rnacentral:rRNA from 1 species